UCUGCCGCACAGCUUCAAUCCCUCAAUCUCCAUCUGUAAACACCACAACCUUCGCCCCUUCGCCCCUUCGCCAUGGCCGCCGCCGACGCCACUGCCACAGCUGCCGACAACGCCACCGCCAUAGCCACAGCUACCGACGCCACCGCCAUAGCCACAGCUCACACACCACCGCCACCGUCGUUUCUUCUGAUUGAGAGAGCACUGCGACGCUGCCGCUGCCAUCGCCUCCCCAUCGCCAGAGCCGACGCCUCCACCCCAGCCACCGCCGUCCACUCACCAGUCAUCACUCACGCUGUCACGCAGGCCGCAGCCACCACUCGCCUGACCACCGGUGAAGGCCACCGGCGACAAAAGAGGUUGAAGAGGUCAAAACAUGGUUUGAGUAGAGACUGAUAGCUAAAAUGGUACUGAUGUCAUUAUGAAAGAGGCAAACAUGACUUGCAUUUCAUUCAGUUUGUGUAUUUUCCUGGACUUAAUGUUUUAUAUAACUUAAUCUGGAGUUUGCAAACCGCAGAUGAACUUUUUUUGACUACUUGCAGUGAUGAAAUAAUUUAGACAUUGCUGCAAAAGCUUGCAGUUACAGAUCCUCCUUUCACUUUGACCCCACUUUAGCCACUAAAUAUAGAUUGUUUCCUGCACAAUCACUUUCUAACUAUCGUAUUUCAGUUUUUUCAGAUUUAGAAGUAUAACCAUCAAUUCAUGCGCUUGCCUUUAAAGAUGGAGGCUCUAGAAGUUGUUCUUUCUCAAGCACUUGGCCAAGAAAGGCCUAUUACUGAUUUUCUACAUGAGAAUGGUUCAUUGUAAUGUGAGGGGAAGUCUUGAUCCUCCGUGCAAUGCAGUUGGCUUCAUUGAUCGACUUAUUCUUGGUGAAAGUCAUCUCUAUCAACGCCCUGUCUACAAAAGAACCAAGGUUGGUCAACUUUUUUCUUUGGUGCUGCUUUUGCUUUGCUGGAAUCUUAAACUCCUGUAGCUUUAUCAUAACAUUUUUGCUAAUCCAGUUUAUUUUAGUAGGAAUGCAAUAUCAAUUCCCCUGAUUAUGCAGUUAUGCUCUCUUUAUCCCUCUCCCUCUUCCUUUAUUUUUAUUUUUCUACAUUCAAUUUUCAGCCAAGGGGUCCUUUGCUCUAUGGGAUUUUAGGUACAAUAACAGUAGUCGCCAAAGACUUUGUAGCUUUCAAUUAUUUUUAAUUUGGAACUUUAAAUUUGUAAUUUCAUGGAUUAUUUUUUAGUUUUUACAGUGAAGUACUGUAAUUGGAAUUGUAAUAGUUUUUGUAUUGAGUUGAGAGUUACAAUAUAUAAGCUCCUAACAGCAGUGGCCAAAGACUUUGUAGCUUUCAAUUAUUUUUAAUUUGGAACUAUAAAUUUGUUGUAAUUUAAUGGAUUAUAUUUUAGUUUUUACAGUACAGU